rnacentral:tRNA from 1 species
AGAGAUUUAAGUUAAUACAAGACUCAGAGCCUUCAAAGCCCUAAGAGAGGGUUAAAGUCCCUUAAUCUCUG